rnacentral:rRNA from 1 species
UACAUGGGGUGCAAACGUUGCUCGGAAUUAUUGGGCGUAAAGCGCACGUAGGCGGUUCGUUAAGUCGGAUGUGAAAGCCCUCGGCUCAACUGAGGAAGUGCACCCGAAACUGGCGAGCUUGAGUACGAAAGAGGAUCGCGGAAUUCCCGGUGUAGAGGUGAAAUUCGUAGAUAUCGGGAGGAACACCGGUGGCGAAGGCGGGCGACUCUGGGUCCGAUACUGACGCUGAGGUGCGAAAGCGUGGGGAGCAAACAGG